rfam:Aedes albopictus isolate Foshan contig13872, whole genome shotgun sequence.
UGUUCUGUGGCUUCGUUGGUGAAAGCGCCGGACUAGCGAUAUGGAGUCGCAGGUUCGAAUCCAACCAAAACAA